GAUGAACGCUAGCGGCAGGCCUAACACAUGCAAGUCGAGGGGCAGCACAGAAACAGCAAUGUUUUGGUGGCGACCGGCGGACGGGUGCGUAACGCGUAUGCAACCUACCUUUAACAGGGGGAUAACGGAGAGAAAUUUCCACUAAUACCCCAUAACAUCGAUCAAGGCAUCUUGAUUGGUCGAAAACUCCGGUGGUUAAAGAUGGGCAUGCGUUGUAUUAGGUAGUUGGGGAGGUAAUGGCUCACCAAGCCUACGAUACAUAGGGGGACGGAGAGGUGAGCCCCCCACACUGGUACUGAGACACGGACCAGCCUCCUACGGGAGGCAGCAGUGAGGAAUAUUGGUCAAUGGGGGCAACCCUGAACCAGCCAUGCCGCGUGCAGGAAGACGGCUCUAUGAGUUGUAAACUGCUUUUAAACAGGGAUAAAGCACAGUAUGUAUACUGUGUUGAAGGUACUGUAAGAAUAAGGAUCGGCUAACUCCGUGCCAGCCGCCGCCGUAA
rnacentral:rRNA from 1 species